AUUGAACGCUGGCGGCAUGCCUAACACAUGCAAGUCGAGCGGAUGAUGGGAGCUUGCUCCUGGAUUCAGCGGCGGACGGGUGAGUAAUGCCUAGGAAUCUGCCUGGUAGUGGGGGACAACGUUUCGAAAGGAACGCUAAUACCGCAUACGUCCUACGGGAGAAAGCAGGGGACCUUCGGGCCUUGCGCUAUCAGAUGAGCCUAGGUCGGAUUAGCUCGUUGGUGAGGUAAUGGCUCACCAAGGCGACGAUCCGUAACUGGUCUGAGAGGAUGAUCAGUCACACUGGAACUGAGACACGGUCCAGACUCCUACGGGAGGCAGCAGUGGGGAAUAUUGGGCAAUGGGCGAAAGCCUGAUCCAGCCAUGCCGCGUGUGUGAAGAAGGUCUUCGGAUUGUAAAGCACUUUAAGUUGGGAGGAAGGGUUGUAGAUUAAUACUCUGCAAUUUUGACGUUACCGACAGAAUAAGCACCGGCUAACUCUGUGCCAGCCGCCGCGGUAAAAC
rnacentral:rRNA from 1 species